AACCGCGGUUAUACGAAAGGCCCAAGUUGACAAGCCAUCGGCGUAAAGGGUGGUUAAUAAUAUAAAUAAACUAAAGCCGAAUGCCUCUCAAACAGUUUAAUGCCUAAGAGGUAAGAAGAACACUUACGAAAGUAGCUUUAUUCUAUUGACGCCACGAGAGCUGGGGUA
rnacentral:rRNA from 1 species